ACGCUCGACACCUACGGGGGGCAGCAGUGGGGAAUAUUGCACAAUGGGGGAAACCCUGAUGCAGCGACGCCGCGUGGAGGAAGAAGGUCUUCGGAUUGUAAACUCCUGUUGUUGGGGAAAAAGAGGAUGGUACCCAACAAGGAAGUGACGGCUAACUACGUGCCAGCAGCCGAGGUAAUCUGAGCGGGCUGGCAAGGC
rnacentral:rRNA from 1 species